CAUCUCUUUCCCACGGUUUUCUGUUGCCAGUGAGGUCACUGGUCCCUUUAAACUGCAGCAGGGACCAAUCAGGGAGCCCGGGGGAGGGCUGUAGGGGCUGGGGGGGGGGGGGGAAAAGGGCCGGAAGAACCCUUCACACGGACGUCUGUUCCCUUUUCAGGAAGAUUCAGGAUUCCCCCCCCCCCCCCCCCCGCCAAUCUCCCCAGCAGCAGAAGAGAGGGAGGGAGAGAGAGCAACCUAAGUAAGCCGGAGAGCUAGGGGUGGGGGCCUCCUUCACCUUAGAGAGGCUGGGAGGAGCAGCUCAGGUCCGCACUCAUUCACACCUCCUCGAGCGGCAGAUUUGUGGCUGCUGGCCAUGAAGAGGCUGGGAGAAGAGAGCCCGUCCGACACCGAGUCUGAUGGGACCAUAGAUGUGGGCAAAGAGGAAUACAGAUACUAGAGAGGUUUGCUCUUUUCCUCUCCAGCUCAUUUAACAGAUGAGGAAACUGAGGCACACAGGGUUAAGUGACUUGCUCAGGGUCACACAGCUGCCAGAUCUCCAGGGCUCACUCCCCCACCACUACAUCCCAGAUGCAAGCCAGGAAAAAGAGGAGAGGGGUGAGUGGUCUCUGCACCUUCUCCUAGGGUCUGCUGUGGUCCCUGGGGAACCCUGGAUCCCUCUGUAGGCAUUUGGUAGCUCAUUACCUGCUUUACAGGGCAGGAAGACAGGUUCUUAAUCACAGGAAGCUCUAGAGGGAGGGGGCUUUAAUUAGAGGAAAUGAAGAGGUUGCCUUCAUUAGAGCUUCUCUUUACCCUGACGGUAAGAUGCUUGAAGGCAAUAUUAUUUCAUUUUGUCUUUGCCUCUUAACACGUAACACAUUGGGUGGCACACAGCAGGCACUUAAUAAAUGCUUCUUGAUUGAUCGAUUAAUUACCUAA
rnacentral:lncRNA from 1 species